ensembl:lncRNA
GCACCGUUAAACUACAAGUCCCAUGAUCCUUUGCGCGUGGAGGCAUCAACGCUCCCAGCCCGUGUUCAUUAGCGCUGUGCAGGCGCUGUCGCCCGGUCCGCGGUCUCUACCGCUGGUCCGGCGGGACUUCAGCUCGUCCCCCCUGGCUGGUGAGUCGCUGUUAACCUGACCGACACGAGCGGAGAGUGCUUUGGGGUUCUUUUCUUUGCCGGUACGCGUUUAAUGCAGCACACGUGGAUACGUCCAGACUCUCCGGGCUGAAGAUGGAAAGUUGGGGACCUUGAUGGACUGUGGGCGGAUGUGGCAACCUGUUCUUUUCGAUUAAAGUCGCACAGCAGACCCGCGUUUAAAUUUUUGGAGGCACGUUUCUACCUACCAAUUAUGUUCCUUGUCUAAUUCGUCGUAUUACGGCGCGGUCUGUUCAAUACGAACCCAUGUUUCCCGGUGGGGUGAUGACCAUGUGCCCUCCGCUGUGCCCUGGGAACCGUGACCUUCAGAAGUGUGACCAACACACUGACCCUGAACUUCAAGGAACUGCAGCUCGAAAUGGCAAACCACACUAUACUCUCUCCAGGGAUCCCGAUUUCGGAUAACGGACAUCAGUGGAUACAAUCAAGAUGGAUACUUUUACCGAUAUUCCCGUAUUGGAAUUACCCAGAAUUCCCCUAACAGAGCCUGCGGUUCCGUGAGCCACAUCAAUAUGCGAAUAUGUGUAACUACACAUGGAUAAGCCAGACCUGGACUAAAGGUCGACUGGCAGGUCAGUGGGAGAAGUUGCAGAGGAAAGUCGGGUUGGAAACGAACAGUGACCUUAAACCAACAAAUCAGCUGGGCCUAAACACCCCCAUCCAGACAUCUGGACCUCAUGGACAGACAUGUCUUUUGGCACUACUAAAAUAGUAUUGAAAGAUUGAGAGGUCCUGUGUCUAGCAAUCUACCCCCUUUCUUUGACUAAAUGAAUUUUAGUUUAUUUCAAUGAUAUAUUGUAUCAUUCUGGUUUAUUUGAUUUGAAAUUACUAUAAACCAUUUAUAAUUAAAGACCCAGUUUAUGGUGGGCUAACACAAACGUAAUUAAUAAUAAUUAGGAUUUCCUUGAAUUAUGACUUAAAAAGUCGAAUUGAUUGUGCAGCCAGAAUGACUUUUUACCCCAACACCUCUCCCUGUCAGUGUUUGUUGUAUUCAGAAACACCUUUAUCCUGCUCAUGAUGAAGAUGAAUUAUUUUAUUUUUGCCACAUCACGCUAACACACACACCCUCUCCUCCAUCUGGAUUGUGUUUGUUUGGCUUGGUCGUGGUUCUAGCUGCACCUCGGGGCGGUGCGCUGGCUUCACCCUCCUCCAGAUGGACGUCGGACCGCAGUGGAGCUUGGCUGUGGACCGGCCCCUCUCCCUGGGCCUGACGCAACCUCCUAUCACCCAUCUUCAGCACUGAAUACCCGGCCGUGACCAGGCUCAGUGCCCAGGUGUGCCCUGCCUGCUUACAUCACAACCAGAUGGGGCAGACAGCGCUACUGAUGUGCCCACAGAGCCCCCCAGUUCCUUCACAAGCGCUUUUGUUUUUAGUCUAACGAACUGUUCCUAUCACAUAUUUCCAAUAGGAAAUAAAAAAAAGUAUGAAAUUCAAACUGUUUCCUGGCCUAUCUCCU